GGGCUCGUUGGACUCCAUUCGUCAUCGCGGACCUCACUGUGGGCUCAAUAUACAUCGAAUCUCGAGGCAUCGAAUCCUAACAUGCUGUAUUUUUUUUUACAUCUCAUGUGCUCCCUCAAUUACAUCCACUAGCACAAAACCCUUUUGUAAUGCAAAAGUUGAUUCCAAGCAUCAUUACAGGAAGAUGAAGAAAUUCCAACUUAAUAUUGCCAACA
rnacentral:lncRNA from 1 species